UCUCUGCUUCCUUUCCACGCUCGUGUUCCAGUCGACUCACCGCCUCUGGGAAUCGAUGCUCCCUGUAGCUCUGUUUCCACAUCUCGAGCCAAACGCAUAGCUUGUAAUCGAUUCGCUGGAGUGAACGUUCGAACACGCAUCCGAAUCUCUGGCCGAAGACCUCCGAUAAAAUACCCCAAAUAUUGCUCCUCUGGCAAUCGUGGUACCUGAGAGGAUAUGAAUUCGAAGUCAGCCAAAUAAUCACCCACAUUCCCGGUUUGUGUCAAAUCUUUAAGUUCCUCAAAGGGAUUAUCACUCCGGCGACCUCCGUAGCGACCAAUCAACGCCCGUUUCAGUUUUUCCCAAGUCAGAUUAUCCUCAGUUUCACGAAGGAGGUUGAACCAGUGAAUGGUUGCUCCUUCCAAGCUCAGUUUGGCCAAACGUAUUUUCACCUCCCCUGUUGAGCCUUGCACUUCGAAAUACGUCUCCGCUCGCGUGAUCCAUCCAACCGGAUCUGUGCCAUCGAACGGUGGUAGCUCCACCUUCUUUACAGCCAUUCGAUACUCCCUCGUGGAUUCGUCUUCCGAUAGGGGUUGCUCACGAUGGUCCUCUUGACAGUUGUUGCGCAGCUUGGCGAGUUCUUCCAGGAUGGAUUGCCGGAAUUCGACCAAGGAUUGACGCACAGAACCCUCCAUCGCGGUUACUCUUUCCUCCAACGCAUCCAUUCUGUCUGUCAUUUUUGGGGGCAUGGACAAUGACGAUAAUACCUCGCUAGUUCCUCUCGAGUAUCCGGCAGGUCGGAGCAAUUGAUAUAACCAGUAAUUUCUGAACUGAAAUAUAUAUGUAUUAAAUGGUAAUAUAUGAGCUAGAGCUCUUACAAUGGAUGAAAAAAACACCAGAGUCAGUGACUCCUACCAAAGAUAUUCUCUCCUAUGACAAUACUACCAAUAUCCAGAAUGAUCCUCCUCACUCUCUCUCUCACUCUAUAUACCCGAAUCCCUAUCAUUAUCUUGCCAGCUCACCCCCUCCUCUAACUAACACUAAUCCUCUCUCCCGGACCCCACCUUCCUUCUCCUAGAAUAAACUUGCCAAACCCUGGGCUUUUCUCUGCCCUUCUCCACAAUUGUUUCCUCAAGGUUUAUUGGCUCACUAGUAUUGUCCAGUGUUCUAUCAGAAGCAGAAAAGUGGCUGAUUUAUAUAUGCUUACUUUGCACUCAAGUUCUUAAAGGAAGUCCAUUUUUCUGGAUCACAGAACCUCUCUGGAAAUUCUUUUCAUCAGCCUGGUGCUGUUCUGAAUCUCUAUACUGAGACAGCUGCUACCCUCUUGAAGGUUCUUCAACCUCAUACUGGCUUGGUUACAUCUGGGCUACUUAAAGAGGAGCUUGAGAGUUUGCACAUAUCUAUCAUAGAUUCAAAUCCAAGGCUCCAAAAUGGUGGGACUACUGAUUCAUCUACUUCUGAUGGAUACGCGGAGGACAUUGAAGCAGAAGCAAACUCCUACUUCCAUCAAAUGUUUUCUGAACAGUUACACAUUAAUGCAAUGGUGUAAAUGCUUGCCCGAUUCAAGGAAUCUUCUGUGAAGAGGUUUUGUAACUCAUCUCUCUUUGGGGAUUGCGCUUCGUUAUGUUCUUGAUGCAUUGCCCAAACCUGAAGAUCCAAAAAUGUUCUUGUUUGGAAGUCUGGCACUAGAGCAGUUUGUGGGUCGUCUUGUUGAGUGGCCUCAGUGUUGCAAUCACAUUCUGCAAAUUUCCCCUUUGCGCAGCACGCAUUCGGAAAUAGUUGGUUUAAUUGAACAGGCUCUUGCCAGGAUUUCCUCUGGCCAUAUUGAUAGAAGUAUACAAGUCUCAUUCUAUUUCUUUUAUGUGACAAAGUAUGCAUAUCAUUUUCAAUUGACCAUUUUGAUACAUGAGUUCAUUAGGUGAAAACGUGGUUCUCAUUAUAGAAUAUAUACAUGAUAAAAUGGUGAAACUAACUUUCUCUUUGUAUAUAAGCAGAUGAUGAUGCUUACUGUAUGAGUAAAUGUCUACUGAUGCUCCAUUUUAUCCAAUACUAACCUUUAUUUCCUCUCAUUUUCUCUUCUCGUCCAAGAAAUAUUACAGAGCAUCAUUGCCAGUAUAUAAACACAACCUCAUAAAGAAAAACCGCUUAUGACGAUAAACAAGCAAGACGCUAUAACAAAUUUUGGAUAAAAUGGAAUGAGAAUAUAGCAAAAGAUCCUCAUGUAAAGCGGUGAUAUCUUGCGAAACGCGUGACAUAAAGCGGUGAUGUCUCGUGCAAGGCAUGACAUAAAACGGGUUCUUCGAUCACAUACAACUAGUGAAACACCAAAUCUCAGCAAACAGGGGUGGCGUAUGAAUAUAGAAGAGUUGGGAUAAGGUCCAUCGAAAUAUGUGAGAGGAUGUGUUGAAGUGCAUUGUUAAGUGUGUGGAUAUGAAGUGAUUAUGCACAAUGACAUAAAGUUGAAGUGCAUCAAGAAGCGUGUCGACAUAAAGCUGAAGUGCAUGUGCAUUGUGAGACGCGUUGACAUAAAGAUGAUGACAUCGUGUAGCAUGUUGACACAAAGUUAAAGUACACCGUGAAACGCGUGAACAUAAAGUUAAAGUACAUUGUAAAACGCGUGAAUAUAAAGAUAAUAUGCACCAUGAAGCGAGUUGAAUUAAAGUGCAUCAUGAAACACGUGGAUAUGAAGUUCAAGAACACUUUGACAUAAAGUUGAGGUGCAUUGUUAAGUACAUUAAUAUAAAGCUGAAGUGAACAGUAACUUAAAGUUGAAGUGUUCAUUGACACAAAGUCGAGGCUGGAUGGGAAAAUUGAUGUGAGUAGUCUAAUUGAUGCGACAACUAUCUAUCAUGUCAUUUAUCAUUUGACAUAAAGAUGAUGACAUCGUGUAGCAUGUUGACAUAAAGUUAAAGUACACCGUGAAACGCGUGAACAUAAAGUUGAAGUGCAUUGUAAAACGCGUGAAUAUAAAGAUGUAUAAU